CAAAAGGUUUGGUCCCAGCCUUCUUAUUAACCAUUAGCAAAAUUACACAUGCAAGUCUCCGCCCUCCUGUGAGAAUACCCUCUAAGUCUUUAAGACUAAAAGGAGUUGGUAUCAAGUACACUUUAUAUAAGUAGCUCAAAACACCUUGCUUAGCCACACCCCCACGGGAAACAGCAGUGAUAAAAAUUAGGCUAUAAACGCAAGUUUGACCUAGUUAUGCUAUAUUAGGGUUGGUAAAUUUCGUGCCAGCCACCGCGGUCAUACGAUUAACCCAAGUUAAUAAGCACCGGCGUAAAGCGUGUUAAAAAAAAAUAAUAAUAUAAUAAAGCUAAGACUAAACUAGGCCGUAGAAAGCAUUAGUUAAAGAAAAUCAACUGACUAAAGUAGCUUUACUAAAUUUUAUACACGAUAGCUAAGAACCAAACUGGGAUUAGAUACCCCACUAUGCUUAGCCCUAAACCAAAACAAUUUAUCAACAAAACUGUUCGCCAGAGAACUACUAGCAACCGCUUAAAACUCAAAGGACUUGGCGGUGCUUUAUAUCCAUCUAGAGGAGCCUGUUCUAUAAUCGAUAAACCCCGAUAAACCUCACCACCUCUUGCCAAUCCCGCUUAUAUACCGCCAUCUUCAGCAAACCCUUAAAGGGAAUAAAAGUAAGCAUAAGUAUUAUACAUAAAAACGUUAGGUCAAGGUGUAGCUUAUGAGGUGGGAAGAAAUGGGCUACAUUUUCUAAAUAACAUAGAAUAUUUUAACGAAAAUCUUUAUGAAACUUAAGAUUAAAGGAGGAUUUAGCAGUAAGUCAAGAAUAGAGUGCUUGACUGAAUCUGGCCAUGAAGCACGCACACACCGCCCGUCACCCUCUUCAAGUAUAAAAUCCAAAAUAUAAUUAAUUUAUUAAAAACUUAUAUUAGAAGAGAUAAGUCGUAACAAGGUAAGCAUACUGGAAAGUGUGCUUGGAUGAAU
rnacentral:ncRNA from 1 species